UUAAGAAAGAAGUACUCAAAAGUAGUGUUCUAAUUCCCAUGAAAACAUGUCUUCGCUUCAAAUGUUACAGUUGAGACUCAUUUUAAUGCACAGAAAAUAACUCUAAAUUACACUCAGAGAACACAACUUGAUUUAUUAGUUCAGCAAUUUCAAUACCAUAUGUUGGGGAACCACUAGACUGUUUAACUGUUUGUGCUUUGCAUUAUUCUGCCUGGCUUGCUGUGUAGUCUUUUCAAUAGGGAAAAUGUAUUUGAUUUUUUAUGGUGAACUGACUUACUUGUGCCAGUGCGCAACCUCCAGAACUAUCUUGUUCAUUUUGUAAACUAAGAGCAAAAAGGUGCAUUU